AUGGCCUCCGAGACUGUUGUCCUCAAGGUGGCAAUGUCCUGCGGAGGUUGCUCGGGGGCGGUUAAAAGGGUGCUCACCAAAAUGGAAGGCGUCGAGAGCUUCGACAUAGACAUGGAGCAGCAGAAGGUGACCGUGAAGGGCAACGUCAAGCCAGAAGACGUUUUCCAGACGGUCUCCAAGACCGGGAAGAAGACCGCCUUCUGGGAGGCCGAAGCCACUCCUGUACCGGAGGCUACCCCGGCAGCCGACGCCGUGCCUGCACCUGAGGCAACCCCGGCAGCAGACGCCGCGCCUGCACCGGAGGUGACCCCGGCCAACACCGUCGCUUGA
rnacentral:rRNA from 1 species